GGGGAAUUGUUCGCAAUGGGCGCAAGCCUGACGACGCAACGCCGCGUGGGGGAUGAAGGUCUUCGGAUUGUAAACCCCUGUUGGGUGGGACGAACACUUUCGUGGUGAAUAGCCAUGGAGGCUGACGGUACCACCUGAGGAAGCCCCGGCUAACUCCGUGCCAGCAGCCGCGGUAAUACGGAGGAUGCAAGCGUUAUCCGGAAUUAUUGGGCGUAAAGCGUCCGUAGGUGGUUAAUCAAGUCUAUUGUCAAAGCCUGGGGCUUAACCCUGGAGAGGCGGUGGAAACUGGUUAACUUGAGUGCGGUAGGGGCAGAGGGAAUUCCCAGUGUAGCGGUGAAAUGCGUAGAUAUUGGGAAGAACACCGGUGGCGAAAGCGCUCUGCUGGGCCUGCACUGACACUGAGGGACGAAAGCUAGGGGAGCGAA
rnacentral:rRNA from 1 species